rnacentral:rRNA from 1 species
AUACGGAGGGUGCAAGCGUUAUUCGGAAUUACUGGGCGUAAAGGGCGCGUAGGCGGCCUGGUAAGUCAGCUGUGAAAGCCCGGGGCUCAACCCCGGAAGUGCAGUUGAAACUGUCAGGCUUGAGUAUGGUAGAGGGAAGUGGAAUUCCUGGUGUAGCGGUGAAAUGCGUAGAUAUCAGGAGGAACACCAGUGGCGAAGGCGACUUCCUGGACCAAUACUGACGCUGAGGCGCGAAGGCGUGGGGAGCAAACAGGAUUAGAUACCCUGGUAGUCCACGCAGCAAACGUUGAUCACUAGGUGUUGCGGGUAUUGAUGCCUGCAGUGCCGGAGCUAACGCAUUAAGUGAUCCGCCUGGGGAGUACGGUCGCAAGAUUGAA